GCAGAAUUCGCCCUUAGAGUUUGAUCCUGGCUCAGGAUGAACGCUGGCGGUAUGCUUUACACAUGCAAGUCGUACGAGAGUUUUUAACUCAAGUGGCGGACGGGUGAGUAACACGUAAGAAUUUGCCUUUAGGAGGGGGAUAACAACUGGAAACGGUUGCUAAUACCCCAUAUGCUUUCGAGUAAAAUGGAUUUUCCGCCUAAAGAGAAGCUUGCGGCUGAUUAGCUUGUUGGUGAGGUAAUGGCUCACCAAGGCGACGAUCAGUAUCUGGUUUGAGAGGACGAUCAGACACACUGGAACCGAGACACGGUCCAGACUCCUACGGGAGGCAGCAGUGGGGAAUUUUCCGCAAUGGGCGAAAGCCUGACGGAGCAAUACCGCGUGAGGGAUGACGGCCUAUGGGUUGUAAACCUCUUUUUUCAGGGAGGAAUCAAUGACGUGUACCUGAAGAAUAAGCAUCGGCUAACUCCGUGCCAGCAGCCGCGGUAAGACGGAGGAUGCAAGUGUUAUCCGGAAUCACUGGGCGUAAAGCGUCUGUAGGUGGUCAAAUAAGUCAACUGUUAAAUCUUGAGGCUCAACCUCAAAAUCGCAGUCGAAACUAUUCGACUAGAGUAUAGUAGGGGUAAAGGGAAUUUCCAGUGGAGCGGUGAAAUGCGUAGAGAUUGGAAAGAACACCGAUGGCGAAGGCACUUUACUGGGCUAUUACUAACACUGAGAGACGAAAGCUAGGGUAGCAAAUGGGAUUAGAUACCCCAGUAGUCCUAGCCGUAAACAAUGGAUACUAGAUGUUGAACAGAUCGACCUGUGCAGUAUCAAAGCUAACGCGUUAAGUAUCCCGCCUGGGAAGUAUGCUCGCAAGAGUGAAACUCAAAUGAAUUGACGGGGAAGGGC
rnacentral:rRNA from 1 species